UCCUAGCCUUGGGUUGAGAUCGAAGACUCUUAUUCACCCCUUCUUCCCUCUCUCCUUUGUAGGGUCACCUCGUCUGACUCCUUCCUCUUUCCCCCGCAGGUGUUCCACCAAUAAAUCUCCUGCACGUCCAGACCCGUCUCAGUGUCUGCCUCUCAAAGGACCCAAACUGAUGCACGCAACCCCGUGCUGGGUGGGACACGAGGUUCUGCCUCUGCUGUAUACGUUGCAUUCAAACUCUGAGGCAAGAGGAAAGAGUAUGAGUUUCAGUCCAUCCUCAGCUUUCCAGCUUAUGCAUGCAGGGUUCUAGCUUGCUUGGAUCUCCUCUUCUUUCCCUUGCCUUCCCAGUGGACUCUGCAUCAGAUACAGAUUUUGUUCCUGCCACUGCUGCCCUCUGGAGAACUGGUCUUGCUGAGUUGUUGUCGGGGUGAUGUCAUCCGCCUGUGCUGAGAGAUAGGGGAGGAAACGGCCCAAAUGACACUCACUGUCGUCUGUCUUACAGAAUGUUGUCAAGCUGUGCUGUUUUGUAUCCCAGUGUCUAUUUAUAAGACUCCUCAGAGACUUGCCUAACUGGUCUUAGAAGCAAAAACAGUUGUAUUACUCCUGGAAAGCUGUUCUUUUUCCUCCGAGAAGCUCAUCUCCAAGUGUCCAGUAUUCUCUCCUCCCUGUCAUUCCGGAAUGAAGCAAAGAAACAAAGGAAGGAGGAAAGGGAGAAAAUACUUUGAGCUAUGAAAAAUCAAAGCAGAUAGAUGAUCAAAGGAAUCCAAAUACACAGGCAUUUUGUGUUUUUUCCUCAGCGGAAUUUUAACAUUAACUUAUCACAGAUUCGUACCAAGUAAUAAUUAUGUACUCGCUUUUCAAAGCUCUGGAGUACAAACAGUAAGUGCCUGAAGAGGGUAUUCUCUGUAUGUGCCUUGUCUACAGACUCCUAAGUUCUUCUUCCCACCAUGUUUUUAGAAAUAACCAGCACAGUUAGGACUUUGUAGAAUGACAUUCGGACACUAUGCUUUCAUUUGAAGCCAGGCACAAUAAAAAUGUCUUUGAGACUUUGUCC